rfam:Eutrema salsugineum unplaced genomic scaffold scaffold_8, whole genome shotgun sequence.
AUUCCCUAUGAUGGUUUUAACCAUGCUAAUACUGAGUUCUUAUGACUGAUUCAAAGUUAAGUUUCUGAGGGAAUU